UUUAUUGAGAGUUUGAUCCUGGCUCAGGAUGAACGCUGGCGGCGUGCCUAACACAUGCAAGUCGAACGGAGUUACGAGAGCUUGCUUUUGUAACUUAGUGGCGGACGGGUGAGUAAUGUAUGAGCAACCUGCCUUUCAGAGGGGGACAACAGUUGGAAACGACUGCUAAUACCGCAUAAUGUAUUUUGAGGGCAUCCUCGGGAUACCAAAGGAGCAAUCCGCUGAAAGAUGGGCUCAUAUCUGAUUAGCUAGUUGGUGGGGUAACGGCUCACCAAGGCUGCGAUCAGUAGCCGGACUGAGAGGUUGAACGGCCACAUUGGGACUGAGAUACGGCCCAGACUCCUACGGGAGGCAGCAGUGGGGAAUAUUGGGCAAUGGGCGAAAGCCUGACCCAGCAACGCCGCGUGAAGGAAGAAGGUCUUCGGAUUGUAAACUUCUUUUAUGAGGGACGAAGGACGUGACGGUACCUCAUGAAUAAGCCACGGCUAACUACGUGCCAGCAGCCGCGGUAAUACGUAGGUGGCAAGCGUUAUCCGGAUUUACUGGGUGUAAAGGGCGCGUAGGCGGGAUGCAAGUCAGAUGUGAAAUCCCUGGGCUCAACUCCGGAACUGCAUUUGAAACUGUUUUUCUUGAGUGCUGGAGAGGUAAGCGGAAUUCCUAGUGUAGCGGUGAAAUGCGUAGAUAUUAGGAGGAACACCAGUGGCGAAGGCGGCUUACUGGACUGUAACUGACGCUGAGGCGCGAAAGCGUGGGGAGCAAACA
rnacentral:ncRNA from 1 species